CGAGGCUGCGCCAGGCAGCGGCACCCUGCGAUCCACGGGCUGCGGGAGGAAGCUGCCGCGUCCCAUUGCCGAUGUCUGCCCAGGGCCCUGAUUUCCACAAGCGCGCUCAGAAAGCACCUACACAUUAUUUGGAAGUACGUUUCGGUCUAACCUGGUAGCGUUUCCUUUUUCUGCUUUAGACAGAGGCAGCAUCACUUUCUCCUUUGAACUGCGGAAGGGCAAUCGAAUGAGGAGGCUGAACGCUACCUCCGGGAAGCGACACAACGCAUAUUCCCGGUGCGCUUCAGACAUGCCUCUUUCCACGGCAGUGCUGAUCAAAGUCUGAGCUUUCCGAGAAAACCACUCUAUAUUUGGGAAGAGAGGAGAUACCGAACAGAUUGCUGUGUCAGGAGACUGUCCCUUAUGUCCCACCCCGCGGACCCCGGUGUGCCAUCACUCCCAGGUGCCAGGCUCAGCACGCUGUCGCUCUGCGGACACGUCUUGCACAACCUGCAUCCCAAUCGACACAACAGCUCCUUGGUGCUUCUGUGUCACUCCAGCUGCUCAGAACAAGUCCCUCCCUGUUUCCAUUACCUCUCAUCUGAAGGAAAAACUAUAGGGAAAAAAAAAAAAAAAGACAUAUUAAUUAGAAAUCCUCUCUCUGUAUGUUUCCUCUGUGAGGAAAAUUGUCAGGUUCUUAGAAAAGCUUGGGUUGGCUCUAUCUAUGACUCCUCUGGCAGUACCUUGCACAGAAGUUAGCAUACCAGAGAGCCACCGUUAGCUUGUUCCUUCUCCUUUCUUUCCCUGUAAUCUAAGUGCCUGAGAAUCUCUUUAUUGUUCAACUAAUCAUCCGAAAUAUUGAAAAUCAGCCCUAGCACUUGUUUUCUUAAAGGUGGGCACAGCAUUUUCUACCCUCACUUGCUCAGUCGGGGAACUGAUUUUAACAUUAGGUUGCUUAUUUUUAGUUGAAGCUUGGCUGCCUUUGCGUAUGAACUCCUCAGAGCUCCUCUACAUCACUCAUCUUGUUAAUAUUUAAUGUACUUUUGUUCCAUCACUUUUUCCGCUGCUCCUGCUCACCACUGUUACCAGGGGCUGCCAGAGACACGGACGUGGAGCAGCCCUGGGCAUCCACCUCUCUCCCGAGCCCCACAGCAGCAAGCCUGGCCCCACUGCCUCACUCCCAGCUGCAGUGAGGAAGGCACCCAACCCCUCUCUUUGCAUGGGAGAUGCUGCAGACAUGGCCCCAUCUCGCUUCCUUAUAGCCACCCCAUCCAGCAGCACCCGGUCACACUUCUUGAUGAAAUUCAGAACUGUUUUACCACAGACAGCAAACCACGUGUCAGGAGGAGCGUGUCAGAAAGCUCCCGGUACAGAAAGCAAGGGGUGGGCCCACAGCCCAACAAACAGGCCGAGUGCAGAGUGCCCUUCAAGCAAAGUGCCCAUCACCUUCACCACGACGUUUCCUUCUGGUCGUCCCCUCAUCGUUCAUGUGACAAUAUUUCCAUAUCCACAAGUCAGGAUGUGAAUCUUCAGAGGUUCUCUCAACUCUAUUUUUAUCAUCUCGUUAGAUUCGAUACAUCUAUGGAUUAGAUCAGAAUCAAGGCAAUAUUGUGUGCAUAAAGCACGCUGGAACUCUGUACCUUAAGUUUCAGCCAUUUUUAAUAGCUUCAUUAUAAAACCCCCCAAAAUUACCCUGUAUUAAUAGAAAUGCUGACAUCCUUUUAACUGCAGUGACAUUAAUUGCAGCUACCAUAAUUUAUCAUCAUUCUGAAGAACAUAACCCUAGAAGUACAUUAAAACAAGAGUGCAUUAAUGAACAAUUACAGUAAUCAAUAUACCCUCCCAACAUAACUCUAAGCUGGAGCAGAAAACCACCAUCAUCAAAAAGACAGAAACCUUUGGUCAACAUUGUGCUGCCACAGCCUGCAAGGGCAGGCGAAAGCUGUGAGUCAAAGUCGCUCUUGGUACAAACUGUUUUCUGUUUUUUUGGGGUGGUUUUUUGUUGGUGGUUUUUGGUUCUUUUGUGAUGCUUCACUCUCCUUUGAACAGCGGUGCUAUGUAUCAGCACAGGUUUGGUUAGUGGCUAAAUGGAUCAACACACACGGCUUUUACAAUGGCAGCCUUUAUCAGUUAGUGGUUAGAAUAAGAAGCGGGGUUCUUGUGUUAAUACAACAUAUAGAGCUGGGGAACUUGCCUCGUUCCUGUAGCAACUUGGCUCACUCUUGGCUCACAAGUAACUUCUUCCAUCGUAGCAGCAUCCGUUUUUCAAUUAAAUCAUACAUUAGUCAGAGAGACCAUUAGAAAACAUUUUCAAAGGGAAAGCACUCACCGCUCUGUGAAGAUUGGUGGCAGUGCAGACGGGGUGUUUGUACAUCUUUUUAUCAUCUCAAAGGCAGGCGGUAGGAGAAGAUGAAAUUUAUUCUUACAGAACAUAAAAAGUAACUCUACCACUCUGUGAAUCUUCUCGAUAUACACUUAAUACAAACCAACUUAAACAACAACAACAAAACAAGUGUAACAAAUAUACUUUUCCACAAAUGGCCGUGAUUUUUUUAUUUUUGCUUUACAUUAGACCAGGUAACCUGGUAUGUGUCACUAUUUCUUUGCCGUAUCCUGUUCAAUGAUCACAGCAGACGUUUUGUACUUGCCCCCUUAAGAAGCUCCCCCACCAGAAGAAUAAUUUGAGAUAUUACACAUGAGAUCGCUCAAGUGUUAAUAAAAUCCCUUUCUGCUGCAGAACACGGUUCAUUCGCUUCCAUACCAGGCUGGUGGCACGGCCCUGCCCACCAAACACAGGAGCAAGAAGCUCAUGCUGGGGAUGGCACACUGCUAAGCACUUUCUGUCAGAUCCAACCCUUGCACAGACUGCGCUUGGUAGACUGUGGCUUUUGCCCUCCUGAAUCAUGCAAGGACAUGGGUGGUUACCAAGGUGGACGAGAGCCAGCCUAGAAAUUCCUUGGCGUUGAUCUCUGCAGCUGCGGUCCAGAAGCCGCGUAGCUGCUCUCACAGCCGUGAACAGAUGUUCACAGACUCGGCCUCCAGCAAGGAGAAGCCUGACCAGGAUGGGCCAGGCCUACCAAUGCGGCCCUUCAGAAAACCCCACUUCAGUGGCUCACUCUGGGUUCACACGACUACCAUUGGCAUUUUAUUUUCAAAACGUGAGCUGGCAGGUGCUAUACAGGCAGUGGCAUUGGACAAAGCACAUGCACAGACCUCUGUGCUGCCUGCAUCACCUUGCUUUGUACUGCUUCACAAUUCCAUGCUUGUUUCAAGAAAAGCUGGCCUGAGUGAAGUCAGUGACCACCAGAUGUACCUACAGCUACUCCAGUCAGUAGUUUAAGCCUGAGGUCUGAACCUAGUGAGCGCUGUGGGUUUUGCAGUGGGACAAACAGGCUCAUUUAUAUCGUUAGGAGUGCAUGGAAGGAGCACACGGCAUGGUGUGCAGCAGCCGUGCCACCUGGGGCACACGUGGGGCAAUGCCGAUGCUCUGAGGAGCAGCCAGCGAACACAGCACCGGCUCUUCCCAUGCUCUGCAUGCCUGAGUGCAGCAGGAGCUGUGCGCUCGGUUCCAGCAGAAGGGCCUGGCUCAAAGUCCGCAGCUCUUCAGGGAGCGGGAACACUUCUAAGAGAUGUUUGUCAGUUCCUAGUUAAAUAACUGCUGUGUUAGAAUCUCUGUGGGCAGUAAUUAUUGCUCCAUUUUCUUCUAUUAGGCAGUCCUGAACGGAGCCAUGAAAAUUGCUUUGAAAUCACAGCAGACAAAGAGGAAACUUUUGGACAUCGUUUAUUUUGGGAUGUUCCAAACCAAAGCUAUCUUCCAAAUCAAAAAAGAAGCCCAGCCCUGCCAAGUCCCUCAUCGCUGAAACGCAGAGAGAGACCACAACACUGAAUGAAAAGAUUUAAACAACUUUCCUACUCUGAAAAAAAGCCUUUUUUUGGAGUUACUGUCAAAAGAAAAUGAGGGAACAACAAAAAACCUUCAUGCAUCAGAGCUGUAUCUAACUGGAGGUGGCGCGAAGAGGCCAAGAGCUUGGAAGGAAACAACGCUACUUUGAAGGGAAGAACUCAAACUUUGUAUCUCAGAAAAUAAAGUCCUACUGGUACAUUUAAAGAAUUUUCCAAGCACGUUAGACCAAGAUUUUUCUUACAGCAUCCACUAUACCGUGCCAUUAUAACAUAACUGUAACAUAAUACCCAAGCACUUACACUGGAAGCACUUACGGACUAAUCUUAAAAACAUUUACCAGGUACACCAGAGCCAGAUUAUUUAUAGCACAGUAGUACCAAAGGGCUCCGCCAGGACGAGCUGCCGUUGUGAGAGACAAAAUGUAAACACGGAGCAGCAAAGUCCCUCACCCGGAGAGAGUGUGUCUGGGCUGGGGCAGGAGGCGUUGCAAAACUCUGCCCAUGUCAUCUAGCAAAUUUAGCUACUGCUGGGACAAAUGCAUGUUGAAAAUACACACGCACCGAAGUCUGGGAGCUUCAGAGUUUAAAUCUAGUCUGAAAUAUGAGGCUGCGAACGUGGAAAAAAAAAAAGAAAGGAAAUUGUACAAUUGGUAAAGAGAGCUGAGGAAAAAAAGCAACUUAGUUUAGGAAAUCUUACGAAACGUUUGUUAUGAAAUAUAAAAUCAUCUGCCCUUGCCCUGAAGUAGCAAUCAGCAGCUGGCAGCACUUUGCCAGCACAGAACAGAAACGGUCCUGACAAGGGGUGUGAAGCAGGGAGGUGCAGAAGGGAAAAAAUGUAAUAAUGGUUUAAGGGAGUCUACAGCGUGCUCGGGAUGCAAAUGUCUGCGGGAGAAUUUCACUGGGGUUACCAAUUGCAACAGCCCAGUUCUCAGUAGGGAGCCCUGUGAGUACAGCCCCAUCUUGUUACUGUCCCUUGAAGCUCACCCUCACUGCAGUGUACACAGUACUGAAGUCCACACAGUGCUAUUCAACAGUGUUUCUUCCCUCAGGAACUGGGAAUUUACUUUUCCAUAGAAAGAGCUAUGCUAUUUUGAGUGUGGAAUGAGGUGUGUGACUGCUCCUGUACAUCCCGCUCUUAAAAAGAGAGGCAAUUGCCCGGAUGCCUUUUCCAUGCAGUGCUGAGCCCGAAAGGGUCUUUGCCAAAAACAACCAGUGAAGCCUCAAUUAUGUGUUAAUGCAACACAGAGAGAACUAUUAAAAUUCCCCAGUUAGGAAUGUCACAGUAGGCCCCCAGAUGGAUGCUAUGAGGUGGCCAGAGCCUGCCACGCUGACAACUAUUGGUGCAGAGGUGCUUUAAGUGAGAUUAAGUGCCAAGCCCUACAGGAGCAGGAAUGGCCUUCAGAGGCCAGCAGAUACAGCCAGACAGCUAGAUUCAUCAGCAGCUCCUCACCUCCUGGUAUCUCCUGGGUCUCUGUUACAGCUGCUGGACAGCCAGGCUCCUGCUAUGUGUCCUCUUUGUACCUGCCUGGACACAAAUUCUAACUACAGCAGGUCAAAACUACAAACCCACAUUUCAAAGUUCGCGACUCUGAAUUUAUACGCCAUUUAAAACACUCUGCCCACUUCACAGAACAAAUGAUUUGUGAAAACUGAUGAUUUAUUUACAAAACAUUCCACGUGCAAAACCGUGCUGACAUCUCAGAGCAAUAGAGUGAAAUAAGCAGUGUGUUAUAAAAUCCCCCACGGAGGCCAGCAGAAGAUAAAGCACGCAGCAGGGGGAUAAAUACCACGGGCAGAAUACCCUGAGCCUCACAACAAAGCGGGUAAGAGCUUUUUUGGCCCCCACUACUUCUGAUACAAAUAAGCCAAUUGAACCCUUUUAAAAAUAGCUGUUGGCCUUGUUUGUUAUUAAAUGUUCUUUAAAUAUUAAACGUUAUUAAAUGCCUCAAAUCACCCCAAAGGCUUUCCUCUGUUUCCCUACUCCACAUCUUUUUCCCACGAAAACCUAAGCCUGGAUAUUUUUUUUUAAGAAGAGCAACCAAUAAACAGAGCACGGGAGCACUAGCAACGGGAAAGGAUCGUUACCAAAUUAGAAGAUGAAAAAUGAAGGAAAACAAUGACGGAGGAGGCCUACAAGUCCUGGAGCUGAUGUAGAAAUCCUGUAAAUCCAAGGAUUGCUUUUCGCCUUCAGGAUACGCUUUCAAAUUCAGCCAAAGCUGUCACUAAUAAUUAAGGUAAUAAUUCUUGCGUGCUCCCCCCUAUAUACAUUCAAGAUUACAUCAUUUCAGCAUGAGCUUUCUGCUUAAACAACGCAACUUUAUCUGCAGAGUAUUUCAGUGGGUGGUGAAGUGAUUCAGUCGCUCUCUGCAUUUCCCUCACAGGGCCUCCCCUCCCAGAGUUCCACAAUCAGCUUGGCUUUGGUGCCGAGUUCAGAUUUUCUUCUGAUCAUCACUUGGUGCAGCAAGAAAGGAACAAGCAGUGAGGAUCUCCACAUCACCACCCUGCGCCCUGACAGCAGCAGAAGCACCCGUGUGUCCCUCACACAGCACAGGCUCAGUGGGAUGGCACCACUCCAAGCCUCAGCUUUACCAGGUUUGACCCCAGCCCACCAUUAAGGCUGUUACAAAGGUUAAGCCUCUACUUUUUCUUCCUUAGCAGGAAUUUUCCAUCAAGUGUUUCACCUGGAAACCUUCCUGCACCAGGACAGGAGAAAGCAAUCUGGGAUAGAGCCCAAAAAACCACAUGAGGCUCUGUAUGUAUCAGACACCCCAGUAACUUAGCUGGUUUCCCUCAGCUGUGGAGUACAGGAAAGCCAAACCAGCUGACAGCAGUGCUCCUGCUGGCACCCACAGCUCCAUCCCUCUCACACUGGCACAAGGAAGCUUUUCAUGGAGGCAUGGAGGCCUUGGUGGCCUUCAGAGCCUGCUCCUUCUUUAUUUACAGGAAGGCCUUUAGGUUUAGUCUGGGGAGGUCUACAGAUUGCAAGGGAGCUUCAGGGGAACAAUUUUUUUUCCACAAAACAUAUGUUGCAAGGCAUCCUCAAGAGAGUCUGCUUUCUGAAUCAUUUAAUCUCCCCUGGAAACUUCACUGCCCUGACUCCCUUGACUGUGGAAGCUUUAUCUUCACCUUUAAAGGCCUUUGUAAUCCACAUUGUUCCUCAACAACUCGAUUGCUUUGGAUUUGUAAAGACAAGAAGCUGGCACCUUGCAAGGCCAGGCAGGCAUCCAGUCAAGCAGCUCCGUGACAUGGCUGCCAGCCAAAUAGAUGCUCCUUCUCUUCUCACCUGUGUGUUUCCUCUGGGUCUGCUUCUCCAGCACAGCUGUUUAGCUGACUCCAAAGCAAACUGCUUCGGCACUGAGAGCAGCAGUGGGAGAGUAAUGCCAAGGGCAGAGAAGGAAAAAGCAUUACCCCUCCUGGCCUCCAUUUAAAUCCACUCAACCAUUAAACUGCAUCAUGGAAGAAGCAGAACCAAAGGACCAUAGAAUCAUUAAGGUUGACAAUGACCUCCAAGCUCAUUUAGUCCAACCGUCAGCCCAUCACCACCCUGGCCAUGUCUCUCUAUGUCACCACAUGUCACCACUAUCAUAGAUAGUGCCACAUUUAUGCAUUUCUUGAACACCUCCAGAGAUGGUGACUCCACCAGCUCCCUGGGCAGCCUGUUCCAAUGCCACACUACUCUUUCUGAGAAGACAUUUUUCCUAAUAUCCAACCUGAAAAGGAUAAUGAGAUUUGAAGAGAUUGGAAAUAGAUUUCACUGGACCAACUAAUACACUCAGAAAAGGAAGACAAGUUUUCAGGCACAAUAAAUAAAUAAAUCAAGAAGCAGUUGCUUCCAUGACAGAACAGCAUCUGGUACAAAAUGCAAGCAGUGGCAGUAUGGAAACGAGGGGGAAAAGCAUUACUGAAGAAAUCAUCCAAAGAUUCUCAUCAAAUAAAAAGAUUCUUACAUUAUCAUGAUGGGAUAACCUGGGACACUUCUGAAUUCUGCAAACCGUGCACAUGCCAUGAUGAAAUUGCUUCUGUUCUAAAACAGUCCUGCAUUAUAGCAGGAUGGGCUGAAUUUCUAGAAAGAUUUCUAGUCUUAAAUUACAGUGUAGAUAGAACUGCAGCAUUAAGAUUUCAUUUUAAUGAAACCACCAUUAAUGUUUUACCUAACGUAAGCCAAUUUUCUGUUUCACUUAGGAAAAUGUAUCCUGUCAUACUCCGUACUUUAUUCGAUUGAACUAAGAGAAUUCUAUACCCCCCUUUCAAGGCAACUCGGUGGUGCAUUUCUAUAAUGUAACAGAUAGAACACUUGUCUUUUUUUUUUAAUAAUUACAUUAUUGUAUUUUUAUUAAGAGUGAAAUUGAGCAAGCUCUGUACUAACUUAAUUGGAAGAAACACCUUUAAAUCAGAGAGACAGGAACAUACAGCUCCACUACUUACUUCAUGGAUUAGAAGUCAUUCUCAAAUUGAGGUUACACUGGGUGGGACAGCAUUACAAGUGUUUAAAACAUGAGAACAGCAUUCUUCAUAUGGCUGUUUGCAGCUAACACAGUGGGUGGGAUUCCCAGAGGAAACUAUCAAAUACUGUUACCAUAUGUUAAAAUAACAUCAGUUGGAAGUCCCAAAAGCUAUAAUCAUUUAUAGGGCUCUGCCUGAACAACUGAAAUGCUGAGAUGCAAUUGUUUUAGUGACAAAAUCUUCACACAGCAGGCAUCAAAUGUUCACAUAAUCCAUACCAAAAAAGAAGUGAAAAAGGCUUUAUAACAAGUAGAAAACAAAAAUAAAGGUAAACUGAAGAAUGAAAACAACUACAAUGCACAGUACUUUUGAAAAUUACAUUCUGACUAUCUUUUCCAAGGAGCUAUCAGGCUUUUACCCUAUUCCUCCAUUCAUAUCUUUAGAGACUGGACAUGCGUGGAAUGCACCAUGUUUUAUCUAAAAGUGCUUCUAACACCAGAACUUUGAUCUCUCUGACCUGAAGUGGGAAUAACAGAACUUCAGCAUUCUGCAAAAUAUCAUUAACUGGCACACUUGCAAUAACAAAUGUGUAAGUGUACUGCAGCUCUGAAUGACUCAAGAGGUUAUACAAAUGUGAGGCCAGGUUUGAGGACUGCCAUAUGGAAUCAAGUUUUUUAUGAAGAAAAACAUGCAAGAAAGGUGUUUCUUAUAGUAGCUACAUCAUACAUUAACUAUGAAGUUAAAUGAAGUGCUGUAUAUCUGUAUUUAAGAUGCCAUCUAUGGAUAUUAUUCAGUCUGGAGUCCUGAAAAAGAUUUCCCUUUAAGUACAGCAUUUGGUUAAGUUACAGAGUACAUACACAAAAACAGCACUUGAUCUUGACAGCUUUGUCACAUGUGCUGAGGCACUGUCCCUGCCCAUUAGGCAUAUGAGAACUGGAUAGAGGUAGGCAUCACAAGCCACAACGAAACACCCACUGUGCAUGCACUUGCUUCCAUGAACCCUACUACCACCUGCCUCAGCUUGUACAGAAGGCAAACCUCUGUGGAUUAUGGCAAGGGAGGAAGAAACCAGGAGGCAGGAUCAACUAAACCACGGUGCCUUCAAUCUGAUGGGGGUGGUGGUCAGCCAUCUUUAAAGCUGCUGGUCAUCUAUCAGAAGCCACCAACACUCAGUGAGUGAGAUGGUUUUCGGUAUGAUAAAAGAGGGCUACAUGCCACAAACAGACAUUCCUCUGGGAAAACAGCUGAUUUGAAAACCUGGGAAAGAUAUUCAACUGCAAAGUGAUAGGGCUCAGAGCCUGGGUGAACAAGAGACAACAGCCUCGAGUCACAGGAGAAAACAGCCAACUUCCAUAAAUAGUUCCACUUCUAGUGGAGUCUGACUGGUUUGCUGUGCCCUGGGGCUGCCCUCUGCUUCUGUGUAAUGCAGGAUAUGCCAGAAGCCACACACGUUUCCCAGACUUUGUGCCAAUAUUCCUAAUACACAGGCAGCCUUCAGACCCCCUGAAUUGUGAUCACAGAACCCUAAAUCACAGGCAAUCAUACAGGCAUCAGAUUCCCACUGCAAAUCACACUCUACUCCCUUUUCCCAUGAAGGAACUAGAAAGCAGAAAUUGGCCAGUAAGUCUGAAAGCUGGAUGGUAAUUUCUACUAAUGACCAAAUAUCUGACUGGCCACCCCUCCAGCCUUCUGGGGACAUUCAAGCUGACCAGAAAACUGCUGGACCAUCAGAAACUUCUCUGGGCAAAAAGAAGGGUAGGUGAGCACAAAAGCACCAUUCAAAGGAGUGAAUUAUCCUACUGACCGCGGCAAGAGAAUCAUACAAAAAAAAUCAUACAAAUAAAAAAGCACUCGAGGGUUUAAAAUGCACCUCUCUCACUAAUCUGCAUGGAAAACUCACCUCAGACAUGGUAGCUACUCCAUGGAAUUUGUUUCCUUACUCAAAACCCUGAGAGAAACACACUUCUGCCACCUAACAGAGAAACAGUGCAAUGGUUCAGUAAUUGAGCCAUAUAGACAUGUAAGUGAGGAGUCACAUCACCCAGCCUGCUGGCCCCUGGCCACCUCCUCUGGCCCUUCUGUAUCUCCCUUACACAAAGUUACAGCCAGUCCAGUCUUUGCAACUCUAGAAAUUCCCCCAAAUUCAUUAUUUAAGUGACCUGGUGGUAUGGCAGAAGGGCUUUCCAAAGAGCUUACAACCCAUGACUCUUUUUUUCUGCACAGACUAACUGCCUAAGCAUAUUUCUUGUUUUUCCAUAUAGAUUUAUGUCUCUUUGCAUCUCAUAAUACUAGAAUGCCUCUUAAAAAUUCCUGUGAGAUAAGGAAAACACUGCAAUCCUGCUUUUGCAGAGAAACUCUGCCAAACCCUAUACUCUUUAAGGGCCAUAAUGAAAUUUUGCUGGAGUUGCUUACAUUUUCAAUUUCAUUCUGUGCUGGUUUGAAGAUCAAUAGAGGGAGGUGAUGUUGAGGCACAGUAAUUUUAAGAAUAUAACUAUUGUGCCGACACCACAACUUGCAUUAUAUAAGCAGGCUUCUGUGCCUGUCCAAAACUUCAGUGAUAAACAAUCUGCUUACACAGACUGUCACAGGAUUAACGUCCAUGAAUUUAUAUCCAUAAACACCGGCUGCAGCAACAGAGCUAAUAAAGUAUAUCCUCGAAAGUGACUCACACGAGUACCUCCCUGUGGGAAGUCAGCUACCUGCUUAAGAAUUAACUCAGUUAUAUUUUUACGUGGAUGUCAAUAUGAAUGAAAUAAAAGUCUUUAAAUUGCUUUCACGAACAAAUGACUACAAAAAUAAGCUGUUGAAAAAAAUACAGUGGUUUUUUUUUUUUUUAGGCAAAGUAAUGACCUACACACAUGGACCAGAGCAGGUACCUGUAUACAUAGCGGUGGUCAGGGAUGGCGAUUCAGAACUAUGCAACCAGAAGUACUGGUUUACAGAUAAGCAGCAGUCAGUAACUCCUCGGUUAGUUCCCAGUGUCUCCCUCCAGAGAUAUUAUCUCUGAGGUUUUGUCUGCAAAGGAAGCUGAAUGCUUUAAUUAUACCAGAACAUGCUUAUGACCUGGGAAGUAAUAAUGUAAACAUUAUUAAUGACAAACAGUACAUUAAAGGAAAAAUGUAAAGCACAUUACUAAGUAUUCAUAUCCCAAUCUGACAGAAUCUUAAUAUAGAAAUUCUGGUUUAAAAAAUAUAUAUUAAAAAAAUUAGCAUUCUGACAUAGUUAACAUUAAAAUUAAGACUCAUUCUUGGUUAUGAAGACAAGUCUGCUAAGCACUUUCAGAUGUCCACGAGGCAUUCUCAAACUGGCUCAUGAGGACUUUUAGAAGCUGCUUUUCAGGGAUGUGGGAACCACCAUCCAUGCACAUUAAUAUCAGUUAACACAUUCCCUGCAGAUCUCAACCUAAAAUAGGUGUGCUCUGAAAUUCUGCUGAAAUCCCUCUUGGAGACAAUCAACCAAGAAAAAUAAUAGAAGCAGGCACAGGAAAAGAUUUUCUGACCACAAUAAAAAGCUCUGAAAGAAGCUGACUGCAAUGCUGAGAUGCUCAAUUCCACCACACUCCACAUGGUAGGGGAUGAGCUCUCUCCCUAAUUCUUUUCUACAGAAAAUUGACUUUAUCACAUGCAUGUUUCUAUGUGUUAUAUACUGGGAGGUGUUAACUACUUUCUCCUCUCACAGGAAUCUGGCUCACGCAUUCAUUCCACAUCAUUCUUAACCAAUCCAAUCAUUCUUUUGUUUUUGUAGAAAAAUACUCUGCUUGGGCAGGCUGGACAGGCAGAUAUAAUAAACAUAAUAAAUAAAUAAAUAACCCUGAACCCACUUGCUUUCAGUAGCUCUUCUUCACUGAUGUGUCAAGUGUCUUUUGGGGCAGGUCAUCAGCAUGAAUGCAGUACAACAGGUUAGGCAUGUUUUCUUAGUUACAGAACACCAUAGGAUUUGUUAACUGGUAUAGAUGCAUCUUGCACUGCUACGGUGCUAUCAAAAUACACACUGUGAAAACCACUGCUAUUAAAUUAGCUGAAUAAAAAUUAGAUGUAUAUUUCAUCAAUAAAUCAGCUAUUCUCAUAGCAAAGCAGCCUACAGAAUCAUAAAAAAAAAUUAAAAAAUUAAAAAUACUAUGACAAAAGAAGUCAGUACUUAAGGACAACAAUAUUUGUGUUCCAAAUAUAGGAACAAAGAAAAUAGCACGGGAUGAAGGUGAGAGCUAUCAGCAGUGUCCCCUUCCCUCAACUCGGUGGACAGACAUAGCUUGUUAAUGCUACAGCCAUGACACCACUGCAAAGAACUCAGACCAAAUUACAGUAAUGUAACUAUGCAGAUGACAAAGUGGAAUUCUGACAGCAGAAAGGUCUUCUGAUGAGUAAUGUCCUAAGAAGCAUCUGGCUUUCAAUAGGCUAAAGCCAGACUUGAGUACUCACUCCAUACAGGAAGCAAACUGUACCUACUUGUCAACAACGUAAUGCACUUGUCUUGAUACAAACAAAAUCAUGUUAAGAAGAGCUUUCAGUACCUAAAGCUAAGCACCUGCUUAGAUCUUUGCAGGGUUCUGUAUUGUUCUUUUUCAUUCAAUAGAGCUUUCAGUAAGAUGCACAUGGCAGCAAACACAUAUAUCCAGUGUGUGUCCUAGCACAUGUGGUGCCACGUGUAGCUCCUUCAUUUUAUCUUGGGGUAUUUAGGAACAGAAACGUAAGCACUGAGAAAAUACACGACCAUGUGAAGUUUACAAACAAGCAGAUCAAACAUCUGUAAGUUUGAGAUAAGCUUCAGCAUAAGAAAAUGCUUUAAACACAAUAAAGUACUUGUCUUUUUUUAUAACAUGUAAGAAAACUCUUUUGUUUUUAAACAUGAGGGUGGUCAAACACUAGCACAGGUUACUCAGAAAGUCUCAAUUCUUGGAGAUAUUCAAAACACAGCUGGGCAUGACUCUGGCCAACGUACAUGAACUGACCCUGCUCUGAGCUGGGAGAUGGACUAGAGAAGUUCCAGGGUGGCCUUCCAGCCCCUGCUAUCCUGUAAGGAAGAAAACCAGCUAACUGAUACGUACUGCCUCAGCUUAGGAGCCCAAAACACAAGAAAUUAUCUCCUUUUAAGAACUUUCCUGUGAAGAAAUGAGGAAUUGCAGGCAAUCUCAACAGUUAAUUUUAGAUGAAAGCAAUGGGAAACUGACAAAAGAAGACUGAGGGAAACAGUUGGAAGGUACAGUACAGGCAAGGCGGGGAGAGACAGUGACUCUGCCUCUUUCAGCAGCAGCUAGCUGCUAGACCAGCUGAUCUGCUUCUUGAUGCACUCGUAAAAAGCUAACAGUGGGGGUGUGACAGAAAACAGCAAGAGAUAUAAAACUGGACACAUGAAACAUAUGCAUGGCAAUCAUUAAGUAUGGAUUUAGCCAAAAACAGAGCUCACUAAUGCAAACUACACUUCCCACCAUUGGCACCACUCCUAUGCAGGUUUGCAAUGAACAAUUAGAAAGCAAGAGACAGGUGUUAGAAAAUCAUCAAAUCACACAUUCAGGGAGUAUUCGCCAGCCAAGAACUGCAUGAACAACUUUAGCCAACACUCAGAAAAAAAGGUGAGGCAGAUGAGGUCAGAAGGAAAGAGCCUGAAGCACUUCCAACGCAGAAAGGGGGCCACGGUCAGGCACAGACAGCGAAGGAAAAACAAUCGAGGAAAACCUGGUGAGUGCAUUCCCUUCCCAAAAUCAUUAGGGAGAUGAAGGCAUUUUUCUAAUUGCACAUGUAAGAUCACCACCACUACCACGUGUAAAUUUUCUGUGAUCUUCAGACAAAAGCUCCUCCCUGACAGGGAAAAACAAUUCAUUCACAUUAUUUUAAUGCAACUAAAAAUCCCAGAAAAAGGCAUGUUAGUAUGCUUUAUACAGCAGAUCAAGAACUCCAUCGCUUUUUUAUAUUCUAUUCCUCAAGUCGAGGUACUGGUCACCUGGAAUAACAGAAAAGGGUUUAACUAAAGUAACCAAAGAUACACUCCUAAAUGUAACUGAAGAAAGCGAUAGCUGCUCAACAUUUUUAAAAUGGAACAAGCUAUACUGAAACAAUCCCAAAUACUACUUCACCAGGAGGUUGCCUUCUUACUGAUUUGGUCUCCUGAUUAUGAAGUGAGAAAUAAUUUUGGCUUAAAUUAUGCCUUGCAGUUUCCCUACAAAAAUCCCACUUUGUUCAGCACACAUCACGUUGGGCUUACUGGUUAACCAGUGGUUCCAACCCUUAUUUUCUGAAUUACCUGAUAUUCUAUUCAUGGGCUUUUCCAACAUAACUGAAUUACUGAAAUUUCUGAACUCUCUUCCCCCCCCCCCAAAAAAAAUGAACAUACUUCAGAGCAAACCAUUUUGUAGAUGAUUAAUCUCUGCUAUCUCUACAUUACACAAUGGAAAAUUGAGGUAUGGGAAGAUCAAUGUCAAAUAACUUCAGUAACUUGACUGCUCAUUCAGAGACACGUAAAAUGCAUUUUUUCAGAGAAUGCUUACAAUACAGAUGACCGUUGGUUUCACCUGUGCUUAUGAAAGUUCUGCAUUUCUGCAAAUCAAGACUGAGGCUCUCAAGAUGCAUACCAUGAAAUGAGGAACAUGAAAAUGAGUGAUUGCUUGUGAAAAAUCUGUUUUAAUCUACCGAUUCCUCGUCUGACAGCACAUAUGCAGUGGCCAAAUACAUAACUCUGUAGAGUAGCACUCAACUGUCUUCAUAAGCUGCUCUUUUCUUAUUCCAGUGUCUAGCAUUAGCCACUGUACAUUUACCAAAUUCUUCAUAAAAUGAUGCAAGGAUCCUAUAGACUAUGACCUUUCUAGAAAGGCAACUCAUUCACAGAAUGGAAUCCAAUGGAAAGCAAUACCAUUUUAACUAAAGGCCAGAGCACAUAAGACUGUCAAAUUGCAAAGGCAUAAGUCACGAAAUUUUAACAAGGAAACUAAUGAAGAACAAAGAAAGAAAACUACUUGCUUGAUAAAAUAAAAACCUUAAAUGAAAAUCACAGUCAGCUCUAGUGCUGAAAGCCAUAUUCACAUUACACCAUUCUGUCACUUCACUUAAAACAGAGGCCAAUAAGUAAGCAGAUUAUCCUUUUCUACAUGGAAACGUGAAGGAUGGGGUUGGGACAUGUUUGUUGCCAGUAGAUUUUACGGUUAUUUCAUGAGAGCAGGAAAGGGUGAAGAAUCCCAGAUUGGCACGAGCUCCAGCAAGUCAUGGCAGAAAGCAGGGAACACAGCUUCACCACAAGGCCGAGUGAAGCUCCCUGCAAAGGAAAUCUCUUACAGGAAGGACUGGGCCUGUAGCAGAAUCUGCAGCUUGGAAUUCUGGGUCUUCUGUAUCUCUUCAACAUGAAGACUGUUGGUUUUUUAUCAGUGAUUAGACGCUCCUGUAAAAGAAAACCUGCAAUUACUUUUACUUCUCAUUUUUCUUUCCUUUAACGUUGAAUAGUGGCCACUAACCCAUCCUGUAGCUGACACAGUCAGGACUUUUCAUCACGACCACUACUGCAUCCACAACAUUUACAUGAGCACAGUUUGCACAAGCAGGCCUGGACAUAAGCACACAGGCAGAAUUACCCUAUCUGAAUGCAAACGUGGGUUUUCAGGGGCAGCCAUUUUCCAUCACAACGUUACAAGUAAAAAGUGCAUUCAAAUACAGGCCCAUUUUUACUAAUUUGUUCCCGAAUGAGUAAUAGGAAUGAAGGUUUACUUCAUAAAACAAUCCGACAGUACUGCUUGUCAAUGAACAGUUCUAGAAGGCGCUGUUUUGCAUUUAGAAUUUAAUUGGGGGAACAGUUAAACAGAUAAAUAGUCAAAAAAGCCAGCGUGCCAGCCUCUGUACUGUGUGAUACAUUGGGACUGAAAGCUCAGCAUCACUUUUUCAGCUGCAAUUACAGCAAUCAGGGUGGCUGUGAGCACCAAUACUCACCUGCAUUAAUUUGACGGGGGCACUCUGACAAACACCCACACUUCACGGUGUGUCCGCCCGCGCUUCGUUUGUGCCCUCCCCCCCCAUCGCCUUCCAAGCCCCGGAAUGCUGUGGUACUUUCCCUAUCACAACAAAGUGCCGUCCGGAAAGCUGAGUAAAUAAAGGAAGUAAAAAAAAAAAAAAAAAACUCUACAAAAAUAAGCUGUGAGACCAACUUUAAGCUGAAGUUACGAAGUUUAAAAAAAGAUAAUAAUAACAAAACAGCCGCAGCAGCUCGUUCAGGCUGGCCGGCCUCAGCGCCGCUCCCGCAGGCCCCGGCCGGCGCCGAGUGCCCGGCACAGCCGCUGCUCGCAGCCCGCGGCCGGGCCACGCUUCCGCCUCGGCCCGCGCCCUCCCCGACAAAUUCUCGGCAUUCCCGAAAAAAAUUCGUCAUUUACCAGGAGUGGGGUUCGAACCCACGCGGACAUACGUCCAUUGGAUCUUAAGUCCAACGCCUUAACCACUCGGCCAUCCUGGUGCACAUACAGGAGCCGCCCGCAGACGCUCCUACAUACAAGGCCCCGCUCCCGCCGGUCCCGCACCCCCCCGACCCUCAGGCCGC
ensembl:lncRNA